rnacentral:lncRNA from 1 species
GAAAAAAAAAUAAAUCAGACUAAUCUGUAAGAAGAAAAAUCCACAAUACAAGUGUUAUCCCAUAACUUAGUAACCCCUGUCAUCCUGACAAAGAUUAGUAAGAGCCUGCCAUUUUAUCAACACAUUUUUGGGGGAAAAGAGAAAGCGCUAUUUUGGAAUUGUGUGAAAUGUGAUACUAUCAGUAUGAGUUUUGUUAAUUAAAUAAAAAAAUCUUUAUUUUGGGAAAUAUUCCAGACAAAUCUACAUCUCCAAAGAGAACACUGAAGUUGCCCACUGUGACCAAUAUACAUAUAUAUACAUAACUCAUUACUAGUUUUUCUCCCACGUAUAUUUGAAUCUCAUGGAAACUCUUUUCACCUUAACAUCAGAUAGAUGUUGGUCAGAUGUGAUUUUUCUGACAAACUUCCCUUUGCAAGUUAGAGUAAGGCAGAGCUUUGGGUGUGAUAUACUUCCUUUUUUCUUCCCCUCUCUGUGUCUGGCCUGCUGUUUGUGGUGGUGAAGACGUGUAUGUUUGAUUUGCUUUAACUUAUUGUUUUGGGUGAUGCAGUUUAGGUUUGUGGCAUAUUCAGACCACUUCCAAUCUGUGUUUGGUGUUUACUGAAUGAAAGUUGUCGCCAGACUCCAACACAAUUUUGAUGUGAAAGCCUCAUUCAUAACUUGGUUCAAUAGGUUGUCAGGAUGUUUGCUUUAAUUUUAGACCUGCACCGACACUUCUAACGGAAUUUUGUUCAUUCAAAUGAUUGUUGUAACUCAGAAAAAACAAACCCAAAGCCAAAACCCCACCACCACACUGUGGAGUCUUUAGGAAGAUCACUGAUGUCUUCACACGAGAUCAACACUGCUUUGGGGGAAGGCUUACAUUCUUCUGCCACUUUAAGGAAAGACUGUUCUUCUGAAGUACUUUUUGCCUGCUUUUAGGCUGUUAAUGCACUUUCAUGAUUUCUUAACAAACUACUGUUGAAAAUGUACUGUAACAUGGAUUUUGAUAAGCGCACAUGUAUUUAAACAAUUCACUCAGCCUCAGGAAAGCUGGAAAAAUCGGAUACCUGUUUUGUAUCUUGGUUAAAAUGUUUGUUACCUACAUCCCUUAAGAUGGCCAGAUGAUGUCUAGAUCCUGUGAGUGUAACUAUUUAAGAUACCAGUAUAGUCUGUAAAAGGAGGACAGUGUAAUUUUACUCUAGGAACUGAGAAAAUGGUGUCCUUCUCUUAUUUUUCUUAGAGGUAUAUAUAGUCUGAAUUGGAGUUUCAAAAGAAAAAAAAAAAACAAAACCCAACAGUAAUAAACCCCAUUUACUGUUCAGGAAAAAAAUGUUUUCUUUCUUAACACUAGCUUAUUUCUAUUUUCUUCUUUCUCCUUAAAAAGCGUGUAUGAAAUAAGUGCAGAGGUAUGUGUAGGAACAACUGUAAAAUCUGCUGCUGUACAUAAUGUUUGCUACUUGACUGCAUUUUCUGUUCCACUUUAAUUUUACUGGUUUUGCUAAAUAUAUUUUAUAUAUUUUC